CGUUUAUACUAGUUUUGUAAAUUUUUUGAAAAAUAUAUUACUUUGGUAAAUUAUUUUAUAUAAUGACUUAGUUUAGUUAAAAAUUCUAUUACGUUAGAUGCACCAGUGGAUUGGUGUUGUGAAGAAUGGGAUAUUGGAAAAGGGAGAAUAUCUUCAUCAAGCGGUCUAGAAAAUCUGCAUCAUGAGGGAUCCAAUUUACAUGCCUCUCAAAAGCUUUGUUAGAGUACUGUGCAACCAAAGAAACAUAGUAAGUUUCCUCGUGGACAUUGUAUCAACUGGGGAAAAAGGAGAUAUCUACUUGUUGAAGAAGCACCUGGUCCGUCAUCAAGCAUCAUGAAAUAUGGAACUCCGCUGUUACUCAUGUGCUUCCAUCCAAUUGAUGUAGCCUAUUUAUUAGGAUUGAAUAGUUCUGCUAGUCUGGAGCAAAGGAGUCCUGAUGUCGUGAAUAAGAGUCGAAUGAUGAAUUCAUCUAUGACACACCCUUGUGAUCCUGCUCUAGUUCCUUCCCAGAAGGGAAGUUUUGACAUCUUAGGUGAUUAGAAAUUGUAUCCAAGCUUAUUCUCCUUCUAAAGUUAAAUGUAAGGUGUAUCAGGUCUCAGGGUUUUUUGCCUGAUACUCUUAAAUUUGAACUUGUUCCUCGAGGGUGCUUUUGGGAAAGUCUAUUCAACAACCAUAUUCCCAGUAAAGAAGAGAUAUGACUGUAUUAUUUUGCAAGUGAGAAAGAAAGGUCUGAAAGAUAUAUUGCUCUAGUGCAGUUCAUGUGCAACAAGAAUUUGGUGAUGAAAACACUUAUAAAUGAUGUUGAGUUCCAUAUACUUGCAUCUACAAUCAUGUACGGUGAUUCUCAAAAUAUUGCAUGUUGUGCUAUUGUGCUGAUGCACCAGUGGAUUGGUGUAGUGAAGAAUAAGACAUUAGCAAAGGGAUAAUGUCUUCAUCCAGUGGACUAGAAAAUGUGCAUUAUGAGGGAUCCAAGUUACAUGUCUUUGAAAAGAUUUGUCAGAAUAUUGUGCAACCAAAGAAACAUAGUUCAGGUGGUUCUUCCAGUCUUUAGCAUACAAGUCAUGAUGAUUUGAAUAAGAGUCGAAUAAUGAAUUCAUCUACGACAUACCUUUGUGAUCCUUCUCUAGUUCCUUCCUGGAAGUUUAUACUCCUUCUAGAGUUAGACGUAAGGUGUAUGAGUUCUCAGGUCUUUUGUCUGAUACUCUUAAAUUUGAACUUGUUCUCCGUGGGGAUAUUUGGGAAAGUAUAUUCAACAACCAUAUUCCAAGUAAAGAAGAUAUAUGAUUGUAUCUUUUUGCAAGUGAGAAAGAAAGGUUUGAGAGAUACAUUCCUUUAUUGGAGUUUAUGCGUAGCAAAAAUUUGGUGAUGAGAACGCUUAUAAAUGAUUUUGAGCCAUCCACAACCUUGUGCAGUGAUUCUCAAAGUACAUCUAUAAUUUCUAUGUUUUUUUUUUAAUUUUCAAUGAAUUUUUAGGUAGUACAUUUACCUGUAUAUGCAGAUGAUUAUGCCUUUUUAAAGUAAGGAUACUUGUUUGGUUUCAUUUGUGUAUAAGGUUUUUGCUAUGUAGCAGAUUGUCCAAGAGAAGAUGUUAACGGCAGCUAGAGUGUGUCUAAUGGUAUAACAUUUAAGUAAAAAAUAACAAAUAAACUUAAUAAACUACUUGGAAUGCGCCGAUGAUUGCUUUUGUUAUAUAUUACUCCUUUCUUUAACAAAGAAUGACCUUGUUUGACUUCACGGAGUUUAAGAAAAUAAAAAAAGACUUUUGAAUCUUGUGGUUCUAAAUUAAAGUUAUGUCAAAUGUAUAAAAAUG